rnacentral:misc_RNA from 1 species
UGGGCUAGAAUGCGCGAGAAGGCCUCCUUUUGGAAGGCCUUCUCGCGCAUUCUAGCCCAGGUAAGGUUCUUCGCGUUGCGUCGAAUUAAACCACAUGCUCCACCGCUUGUGCGGGUCCCCGUCAAUUCCUUUGAGUUUCAGUCUUGCGACCGUACUCCCCAGGCGGAUGACUUAACGCGUUAGCUCCGGCACAUCGGGACUACAAACCCGACACACCAAGUCAUCAUCGUUUAAGGCUAGGACUAC